rnacentral:rRNA from 1 species
UACGUAGGGUGCGAGCGUUGUCCGGAAUUAUGGGGCGGAGAGAGCUCGUAGGCGGUGUGUCGCGUCGGCCGUGAAAACCUGCAGCUUAACUGUGGGCUUGCGGUCGAUACGGGCAUCACUGGAGUUCGGCAGGGGAGACUGGAAUUCCUGGUGUAGCGGUGAAAUGCGCAGAUAUCAGGAGGAACACCGGUGGCGAAGCCGGGUCUCUGGGCCGAUACUGACGCUGAGGAGCGAAAGCGUGGGGAGCGAACAGG